UCCUUCUUAUGUAUUUGGGGGCACUCUUGCAUGUUUUUUUUUUCACUUUCCAUAAGUUUUUUUUUCUGUUUUUUCAGGUUGGUCGCUCAGGAAGGUUCGGUCACCUUGGUUUAGCAGUUAAUUUGAUUACUUAUGAGGAUCGUUUCAACCUUUAUAGGAUCGAGCAAGAGCUUGGAACUGAAAUAAAGCAGAUUCCUGCUCAAAUAGAUCAAGCUAUUUACUGCAGUUGAUUUGCGACAGUUUGUGCAUCUUCAGCCUAAAUGAAUAAAUCAGAAAAUCUACUGUAAAUUCCAGUUAAUCUGGAUUUGGAUUCUCUCUCUGGUGACCACUGCACUGGAGAUAUUCACUGAAAGCAAGAUUUCCAGAGCAACUAUUUCCUCAUGUUUCUCUGCUCUAGAUUGAGACCUCGGAGUUGGCACUAACAGGUUGUAAAUCCAAAUGUUAUUUGUUUGAAUUUUUAGUUAUUUGGUUUGCAAUGUCAGUAGGAUAUGUUCCAGAUGUCUGAUGCAUUUGCCAUUUGAUGCUUUGUUUGAAAGCAUUGCGUGUUUGCUGAAAAGUUACACGUUGAAAUCUAUUAUUGAAUAUGGUUUUUAAUGAUUGAAAUGUUGGAGAUUUUCUUAAAA